rnacentral:rRNA from 1 species
AAUCAACGCUGGCGGCGUGCCUAACACAUGCAAGUCGAACGCGAAAGUGGAGCAAUCCAUUAGUAGAGUGGCAAACGGGUGAGUAACACGUGGGCGACCUACCUCAGAGUGGGGGAUAACCUUCCGAAAGGAGGGCUAAUACCGCAUGACAUCCCGUGUUUGGAUACACGGAGAUCAAAGCCGGGGAUCGCAAGACCUGG